rnacentral:rRNA from 1 species
GACGAACGCUGGCGGCGUGCCUAAUACAUGCAAGUAGAACGCUCAAGAGAGGAGCUUGCUCUUCUUGGAUGAGUUGCGAACGGGUGAGUAACGCGUAGGUAACCUGCCUUUUAGCGGGGGAUAACUAUUGGAAACGAUAGCUAAUACCGCAUAACAAUGUGUGACACAUGUCAUUUAUUUGAAAGAGGCAAUUGCUCCACUAUAAGAUGGACCUCGCGUGUAUUAAGUAGGUGGUGAGGGAAAGGGCUACCUAAGCGACGAUACAUAGCCGACCUGGGGGGGUGAUCGGCCAACCUGGGACUGGGACACGGCCCAGACUCCUACGGGAGGCAGCAGUAGGGGAUCUUCGGCAAUGGGGGCAACCCUGACCGGGCAACGCCGCGUGAGGGAAGAAGGGUUUCGGGUCGUAAAGCUCUGUUGAAAGGCAAGAAAGGAAGUGGGAGUGGAAAGUUCACACUGUGACGGUAGCUAACCAGAAAGGGACGGCUAACUACGUG